AGGGUUCGAUUCUGGCUCAGGAUGAACGCUGGCGGCGUGCUUAACACAUGCAAGUCGAACGGGAUCCCAGGAGCUUGCUCCUGGGUGAGAGUGGCGAACGGGUGAGUAAUGCGUGACCGACCUGCCCCAUACACCGGAAUAGCUCCUGGAAACGGGUGGUAAUGCCGGAUGCUCCGACAUGACGCAUGUCGUGUCGGGAAAGAUUCAUCGGUAUGGGAUGGGGUCGCGUCCUAUCAGCUUGAUGGCGGGGUAACGGCCCACCAUGGCUUCGACGGGUAGCCGGCCUGAGAGGGCGACCGGCCACAUUGGGACUGAGAUACGGCCCAGACUCCUACGGGAGGCAGCAGUGGGGAAUAUUGCACAAUGGGCGCAAGCCUGAUGCAGCGACGCCGCGUGCGGGAUGACGGCCUUCGGGUUGUAAACCGCUUUUGACUGGGAGCAAGCCCUUCGGGGUGAGUGUACCUUUCGAAUAAGCACCGGCUAACUACGUGCCAGCAGCCGCGGUAAUACGUAGGGUGCAAGCGUUAUCCGGAAUUAUUGGGCGUAAAGGGCUCGUAGGCGGUUCGUCGCGUCCGGUGUGAAAGUCCAUCGCUUAACGGUGGAUCCGCGCCGGGUACGGGCGGGCUUGAGUGCGGUAGGGGAGACUGGAAUUCCCGGUGUAACGGUGGAAUGUGUAGAUAUCGGGAAGAACACCAAUGGCGAAGGCAGGUCUCUGGGCCGUCACUGACGCUGAGGAGCGAAAGCGUGGGGAGCGAACAGGAUUAGAUACCCUGGUAGUCCACGCCGUAAACGGUGGAUGCUGGAUGUGGGGACCAUUCCACGGUCUCCGUGUCGGAGCCAACGCGUUAAGCAUCCCGCCUGGGGAGUACGGCCGCAAGGCUAAAACUCAAAGAAAUUGACGGGGGCCCGCACAAGCGGCGGAGCAUGCGGAUUAAUUCGAUGCAACGCGAAGAACCUUACCUGGGCUUGACAUGUUCCCGA
rnacentral:rRNA from 1 species